GACGAACGCUGGCGGCGUGCCUAAUACAUGCAAGUCGAGCGAGACUCUUCGGAGUCUAGCGGCGGACGGGUGAGUAACACGUGGGCAACCUGCCUGUAAGACUGGGAUAACACCGGGAAACCGGUGCUAAUACCAGAUAAUCCUUUUCCUCUCAUGAGGAAAAGCUGAAAGUCGGUUUCGGCUGACACUUACAGAUGGGCCCGCGGCGCAUUAGCUAGUUGGUGAGGUAACGGCUCACCAAGGCGACGAUGGGUAGCCGACCUGAGAGGGUGAUCGGCCACACUGGGACUGAGACACGGCCCAGACUCCUACGGGAGGCAGCAGUAGGGAAUCUUCCACAAUGGACGAAAGUCUGACGGAGCGACACCGCGUGGAGGACGAAGGCCUUCGGGUUGUAAACUCCUUUUCCAGGGGAAGAAUAAGGGUAAGAGGAAAUGCUUAUCCGAUGACGGUACUCUGGGAAUAAGCCACGGCUAACUCUGUGCCAGCAGCCGCCGUAAAAC
rnacentral:rRNA from 1 species